rnacentral:rRNA from 1 species
CAUGGAGUUUGAUCCUGGCUCAGAUUGAACGCUGGCGGCAUGCUUUACACAUGCAAGUCGAACGGUAACAGGUUAAGCUGACGAGUGGCGAACGGGUGAGUAAUGCAUCGGAACGUGCCCGGUCGUGGGGGAUAACGCAGCGAAAGCUGCGCUAAUACCGCAUACGAUCUGAGGAUGAAAGCGGGGGACCGUAAGGCCUCGCGCGAUCGGAGCGGCCGAUGUCAGAUUAGGUAGUUGGUGGGGUAAAGGCUCACCAAGCCGACGAUCUGUAGCUGGUCUGAGAGGACGACCAGCCACACUGGAACUGAGACACGGUCCAGACUCCGUACGGGAGCAGCAGUGGGGUAAUUUUGGACAAUGGACGCAAGUCUGAUCCCAGCCA